UUAUAUUUUGGCAUUUUGUUUCCCUUAUUAAAGCAAAUAUUCAUGCCGAGAAAUAAAAUGUUUAUCUUCGUCAUGAAAGUGUAAAAAAUGCUGUAAUCCGUAACCCCCAGUGUAGGAACUGGACCAAUUAAGUUAUUUAAAUAUUCAAAACCACUUGCAGCAAGUUGCUAUAGAUGUUUUCAGAGGGACAGACGUACAAAGCCACACGAUACAUGUACCAAUAUAAACCAAUCUAAUCACAAACGUUAAAGCACGGCAUUGGGUACGAAGUGGUCUGUGUACGCGUGGUAGCCCAGAACUUACUUGCAAUUAUCAACGAAGGAUGCCAUUUUCCCUGGAAUUUGGUAUGUAUGCAAUCGCCAGGCAUGUCAUUCUCUAAUCAACGCAGAUGUGCUUAAAAUCGGCCACCGCUUCUCACCAAUCCAAUAAACUUAACAUUUUUCGGGUAAAUUCUGUUCAGUAGCCAUUUUUCAAACAAAUUCCGCCAAGAAACAUGCGCGGUCGAUUUCGGUAGUUUCCGGUAUUUUCCCGGAAAUCUCCGAUUCCAUUAUUGCUGGUUUGUAUCAUUUAAUUAUUUUGUUUUUCUUUAAUUAAUGCUAUUUUGGCAAAAACAAGAUUAACGUGCAUCUAAAAUAAUAACAUGAUGGGAAAAUUAUGAUAUUACAAAGUUCUAUAAAUAAAAAAUGUGCGGUGGCGCUAAUUAGCACGUGAUGCAAACAAACCGUUCAACAACAACAACAACAACAACACGAGGAAACAUGCGUGAAAAGGCAAACAAACAAUAUUUGUAAACACGAGAACAACUGCUGGCGGUACACAUUAUAAGAAGAUCACUUUAUUGGACGAGAAGUUGUUUCAGACGUUGCAUCUUGAAGACAGCGAUCACUUCAUGAUCAUUCUCACAGGAAAGUGAAGAGAAAAUGGCCAACAGGGAGUGUAUAUUGGGAAAAUUGAAACCUUUCAAAGCAACUGAUGAGUACUACAAUCUUCUGCCAGAGGACGAAGCAGCAACCCCCAAGUCAUUCACAAGAUUACAAAAGGGCUAUGAAUUGUUUUUUUUUUCUUUUUUUGGCAAGCACAAUUCUGCUGCCAAAACCAAGAAUGCCUUCACAAUUAGCUUCGAAUAUGAUAAUGGAGAACAGUGAAAGUUUUUGUUAGUAAGAAAAUCAGUCUUGGAGAGGAAGGAAAGAGAUCCGUGAUAACAGAUGAUACCUUAAAGCACUAUCUAGAUAAACAUAUGUGCAAGUAAUCUCGCAUCAACAAAUGUGUGUUGUAGCAGUGAGAAAGCUCUUUUUCUAAAGUGUGUUUUUGGAUAUCAGACCAACCAUGACAUUUAUAAACAGUCCUCCAGAGUUGGUUGAACACAGUACAUGUACAUUAGUCCGGAGGAUUUAAUCAUAACUGCCACCAACAAAGUUGAAGUGGUUUUUACUGGUUUGAAAUGUGAGGUGUAAUCAUACAGUAAACAAAUAAUAUAGUAUUAACAUCAUUAUAGCAUUCAAGGUUUUUAUUCAUUUGUUUAGCUUAUCUGAGCCAAAGGCUCGGGAUGAGCUGUUAGUAUGGGUUGGUUGUCCAGCAUUAAACGUCCUGUGUCCAUCCUCAAGAUUGCAUAUAAAUUGCUUCUCUAAAACUACAUAUCAGAUGUUUACCAAAUUUGGUCUGUAACACCCCUCCUUUGACCACCAUUCAAAUUACAGGAAAUGGUUACUUUGUGACCUUGACCAUUGAUCUUAAGAUAUAAAUUAUAUUCAUACUGAAUGUUUUAGUACAUUGUAAAAUGAGUAUUGAUUUAAUUGAUACAAGAAUUGUAUGAAUCUAGUUAAAAACAUCAAAUUUUGAUAUCCAUUAUUUAAUAGAAGUGUAAAUGGAAUUAUGAGUGGCACUUAUGUCUCUGUGACAAAUCCUCAAAAAAUUCACACACAUUUUCUGUGUCAAACAGACAUGUAUUAUAUAAAAAAAUACAGUCAAGCAAAUUGUUUAACUUUAUUCGCUAUAUAAUAAUCUGUGCCAAUUUACUUGUGAUUUACUAUUUCCAUGCCAAUAAAUUAUGCACUAUAUACACAGUUAUUAAAAUUGAAGUUUUAUGAGGAAA